rnacentral:lncRNA from 10 species
CCUGUAGUCCAAGCUACUUGGGAGGCUGAGGUGGGAGGAUCACUUGAAUGGAGAAGUUCUGGGCUGUAGUGCCCUGUGCUCAUCAGGUUGUCCUUGGCAUCAAUAUAAUGUCCUCCUGGGAGCAGGAGACCACCAGGUUGCAUAAGGAGUAGUGAAUUGGCCCAGAUCAGAAAUAGACUAGGUCAAAAUUCGCACACUGAUCAGUAGUGUGAUUGAGCCCCUGCACUGCAACAUGAGCAACAAAGUAAGACUCCAUCU